rfam:Schistosoma mattheei strain Denwood, Zambia genome assembly, scaffold: SMTD_scaffold0019130
AUUCAUCUGGCGUGUCCCAAAUAGGACGAAACGAGUUUCCUAGAU